GAUGAACGCUGGCGGCGUGCCUAAUACAUGCAAGUCGAGCGAAUGGAUUAAGAGCUUGCUCUUAUGAAGUUAGCGGCGGACGGGUGAGUAACACGUGGGUAACCUGCCCAUAAGACUGGGAUAACUCCGGGAAACCGGGGCUAAUACCGGAUAACAUUUUGAACCGCAUGGUUCGAAAUUGAAAGGCGGCUUCGGCUGUCACUUAUGGAUGGACCCGCGUCGCAUUAGCUAGUUGGUGAGGUAACGGCUCACUAAGGCAACGAUGCGUAGCCGGCCUGAGAGGGUGAUCGGCCACACUGGGACUGGGACACGGCCCAGACUCCUACGGGAGGCAGCAGUAGGGAAUCUUCUGCAAUGGACGAAAGUCUGACGGAGCAACGCCGCGUGAGUGAUGAAGGCUUUCGGGUCGUAAAACUCUGUUGUUAGGGAAGAACAAGUGCUAGUUGAAUAAGCUGACACCUUGACGGUACCUAACCAGAAAGCCACGGCUAACUACGUGCCAGCAGCCGCCGUAA
rnacentral:rRNA from 1 species